rnacentral:rRNA from 1 species
GAUGAACGCUAGCGGCAGGCUUAACACAUGCAAGUCGAGGGGUAUAGGCUUUCGGACCUAGAGACCGGCGCACGGGUGCGUAACGCGUAUGCAAUCUACCUUUCACAGAGGGAUAGCCCAGAGAAAUUUGGAUUAAUACCUCAUAGUAUAGCAGUUUCGCAUGAAACCACUAUUAAAGUUCCAACGGUGAACGAUGAGCAUGCGUCCCAUUAGCUAGAUGGUAAGGUAACGGCUUACCAUGGCUACGAUGGGUAGGGGUCCUGAGAGGGAGAUCCCCCACACUGGUACUGAGACACGGACCAGACUCCUACGGGAGGCAGCAGUGAGGAAUAUUGGUCAAUGGACGCAAGUCUGAACCAGCCAUGCCGCGUGCAGGAUGACGGUCCUAUGGAUUGUAAACUGCUUUUGUACGAGAAGAAACAACAUUACGUGUAAUGUCUUGACGGUAUCGUAAGAAUAAGGAUCGGCUAACUCCGUGCCAGCAGCCGCAGUAACAC